rnacentral:tRNA from 1 species
GGUGGCUCAGUGGUAGAGUGCUUGCCUUACAUGCAUGGGGCCCUGGGUUCGAUUCCUCAGCACCA